UGACCGGAAUCGAACCUGGGACCUUUCAGUCCGCAGUCCGACGCUCUACCCACUGAGCCAAACCGGUUUCGGCCGAAUGAAUCUUUACCAAGAGCAAAACAUAUCUUGAAAGUUACUAGACAAAAUAAGAUGAUAGAUGAUUGCUUUUAUUAUCAUAAAAAUGGGGUACAAAGAAGAAAACCCUGAUUAACUUAAGAAUUUAUUUUAGUUAUGAAUUUUAAAAAAUUUUAAAAAAAUGUAAAGGCAGCUUGGGAUAGGAGAGUGAAAACUAGGGCCAAAGACAUGAAUUUUAAUUACAGCUGUAGCACUAACUACCUGUAAUGUCUUUGAGUCAUUACUUUUCUCUGGCCUCUGUUUCUUCAUUGUAAAAUUAGCGUCUUGGGCGUCGGUUCCAGGAUUCUUUUAAAUUUUGUAGUAUCUGUUGAAAUAGUUAAGAAAUCAACUCUGAAUCAGGUCAUGUAGAAUGUUUGAUUUGAAAGUCCUUAGUUUGGACAACCUAAUUAUGUUAUCAAUAGGCUCUUUUCGCCUCCUCAUCUUUAGUUAUUAGAAUCGUUCAUGCUUUCCUCUAGUAGCUAGAGUCUAGCUAGCUGGUAAGUGUACAGACCAGUUAUGUUAAUAUUGAGAUAGUAGUUACAGGUUUUGGUGCCAGCUUUUGGUGUGUGUGUGUUUCUUUAUUUGGGAAGAAAGAGAUUAGCAAGUGGUUUCAUAUAGUUUUAUUCAAUGUGAGUUAUUCAGGCAUUUAUUGAACAUCUACAAUGAGGCAUACACUGGGUAUAAAGAUAUUAAAGCAUAGUUUUGUCUUUCUGAUGUGCAGAGAAGGUGAUUCACGAUUCAGAACUUAGGUGACAUCUUUAAAAAUCUUUUCCUGAUUGCUCCUUUCUCCCUUUCUUAAAUCCAGGGCUGGUCUAAGUGCUCUUCCUUUGUGUUUUACUGGUAUGCUGUGCCAGGGCUGCUAUGACUGUGGAAUUGGUGUUCUGCAUAAAGAUAGUAAUAGAGAGACAAACAUCAAUCAGUUGCCUCCAGUAUGUACCCCGCUGGAGAUCAAACCCGCAACCUAGGUAUGUGCCCUGACUCGAAAUUGAAGCUGCAACCUUUUGGUGUACGUUUGAUGCUUCAACCAACUGAGCCACCUAAUCAGAGCCCACCUCUAGACCUUUAUUUGCUGUGUUAAAGAAGUAUAUAUAUUGCUAUGUCAUAACUUUGCUUUUUAAAAUACAUUGAUAAUUGUAUUUGAGUAUAAUUAAUAAUGCAUUUUCUAAGCAUGCUACCAUGUGCUGAGGAAGAGAGAUUAGUAGGGUAGGGUAGAAGGGAAUUUAAAAAAUCCAUUUGUUUGGUUAUCUCUCAGAAUAGAGAUGAGGUCCUUAUAAAAGAGACAAUUUCUUUUUCAUUCUCCAGUCCCUUUUUAUUUGACUUGUUAAAUAGGACUGAAUGCCAAGCUUUUUGUUACAUGUCAAAGUUCUAGAUUAAAAAAUACUUUGGGUUUA